UUUGUUGAUACGGCGCGCGUACGAUUACUGCAUAUACCACCACCAACCAGUAGUCGGGCAUUAGGCAAAGAUAAGCGAUGGAUCACACCAACACACGCCAAUCAUAAUGCUGCUUGUGUCGUCAGCUAGUUGGGGGCGCAUUGUGUGUGAAAGCCACUUGUCGUAUCAGCAGCCGGCGGCAGGAGGUUCGUGCGUCGGGUUACGCGUUUACCUUACACGUCGUUAUCAAAUUACUUGUCGAGUGGUCCGAUUGAUGGGAUGCUGGGUGGAAGAAUGCAUAAUGAUGAAGACGUAAUUAGGUAACGAGCUGUGUGUGUGUGUGUGUGUGUGUGUGUGUGAGAGGGUUUUUUUUCAAUGUGACACGCAAUGUGCACGAGCAGUUUUUUUUUGCUUCUGUGGAACACGUGCUUAAGAAAAAUCAACAAGGGUCGAUAUUGUAUUUCUUACACUGUCGUCUAGACUCAUCCUCAUUUACCAAAUAGCUACAAAAAUAAACUAAUAAUAGAAGGGCAAAAACGAUGCCCACAAAACGGAAGAAAAUAGUUUUUUCGUUCCCCGAUAUGAAAGCGCCUAAAUGUAUGCUAUAUGCAUCGCAACGAUGAACCGGUUUAUCAACAAGGGUAACGCAACGCAACAGUGAGGCACAAAAUUAACUAACAGAAAUCAAUGUGGAAUUAAUUAUCUUUGAGUUAAAAGUUAUCUUUCAUUAUUUUAUUUUUAAAUAUUGUGGAAAUCCUUCUUUUCCUAUCAUUUCAUGUUUGUGUUUAAAGUGCUAAUAUGCGCGUAAAUAGCUGCCAUUAUCAGUAUUCCUAAUUGAAUUAGUAUUAAAUGUCGAGGCUUAUGUGUACUUACGUUCCAAUAGGCAAACAUAAUCAUAAACUAAAUUGGUAUUAUUUAAUAUUUAUAUUUAAUCCCUUAUGGUAAAAAAGCUCUAAAAUACGUCUUCGAAAAAAACAUUUCCAACGCCACAAAUACGUAGAACCUGAUUCAUUCAUUUUCCAUCCAACAUCGUUGGCAGCAUCGACCAUGGAGGUUGGAUAAUAUCCUCUAAUUGGUAGCCAGGGGAAUUCCGUUGCGCUGAUUCCAUCGAGAAUUUCAAUAAUUUACCCGCCCUACUGAGAAUCGUUACAAUCAAACUCGCCCCUCUUCCCCAUUUAGCUUGCUUUUAUUUGCUGUCCUUUCAAAAUGAUUUACCACUUCGUAUCGCAAACAAACUAACCAACCAAAAAAAACACUACAUUCUACCGACCAACGCUUGGUCCCUUUCAGUUCAUACGUUGUUCUGUGACGUUGGUUUUACAAAAAAAAUCAAAAAAGAGAUCCAAUAAUGGAAGCAAAUCCAUCACCUUUCCCUGUGCCCGUGCGUGCGAAUAGUCCCGGAGCUUUUUACCAAUUAUUCGCAUAUUUAGUGUCUAAUUUGUGAACCGCGGCCCGAUCACACGCAAGCAGCCCAACACGAGGAAAGGAUCUCGCGGAGGUCAGGCACGCGGAUUGCGCAAAACAUUUCAUCAAACCGAGCCGUACCCAACUGUUGCCAACGAUACGAUACUGCGUUCGCAAUCGAACGGAGGACGUAACGAUUUGAAUCCUAUUAGUAAACGGUAUGCUUCCCGGAAGCACGAUGUCCUCCCCCACCAGGACCAGGAGCGAGAAAGUGCGCUUCCGCUGGCCCUCCCCCACACUCAGUACGGCCCGCGCGUUGCACCGUUGCUGUGGUACAAAUAUUCAAUCACAAGCAAUCUGGUAUCUCCUGGAAUCGGUCCUACCAUUGGACCGAACGACCCAUCAACCCAGGAGGGGGUUAUUCGUUGAACCCAGAAAUAGAAAUAUUGUGUCCCUCGCUAAAGGACACACUUUCACACGGCUGGUUGUGUUUUUUUUUUUUUUGUUGUUUUUACUUUGUUUGCUUCUUCCUGCACGUGAUGAUUCCCGUGCACAGCGUUCGGAAGGACGGAAAGAUGGGAAAACAAAUGGACAAAAUAAAGGAAAGGAAUACUAAUCCUCGUUUCGGGCGAAAACCGCUCGCGCCUCGCUCCCAUGGCAACUGAUUCUUCGCGCUCGCGUGCACGCGUACGUUCCGGUCGUAAAUCCUGUAAUUUAUAUUCAAUUUCAUUUUCCACAAUUUCGGACAGCAGGCGCCCACUGUCAUGCCCCUUUUUUCUGUGAUGUCCUCCUACCUAGCUAUGUGUCCUCUUCUUCUCUUUAUGUUGUCGGGUCGGAUUUUUUUUUUUGCGUAGUUACUGCUGGUUUCUCGCAUAUUUACAGCACACACAACAGAGUCCUUUGAGUGUGCGCGACUUUCGCGCGACCAAUUUUCGGUGCGUAUUUGGCAUAAAAAUGAUUUAUUUAUUCGCCAUGGCAGCGGUGCGUCGUGCAGGACAACGGACGCAGGACCACUUCAGAUCACGCUGAUGAUACUGAUGAUGACGAUGAUGGUGUAAUGCAUACUGGCCGGUAGCGAACUGGCUGCCAACCCCUUUUUCCCCGAGCUUUCUUACCAUGUCCUGUCCUUCGAAUGGCGUUUUCGUCACCCGGGCAAUUGUUACCGAGGAAUCCAAUACAGUGAAAUAUGCCCUGACAGCCGUAAACUUUCAUUCAGUGCAGGCAGGCCGACAAAUAUUCCGGCGAAAUUGGUCCCGCUUUGCAUCAAAAGGAUAGUGACAUUUUGAACCGAGCAUUCAAGCUUACAUUCAAAUAAAGCUCCUUUGGAAAGUGACAAACGGUUCUAUUUGAAACUGCAUCCUUUUUGGUGAUUAAAAAUAGCACCAACCACCACCGAGCGCGUCAUAAAUGUACGCAAAAUGGGCUGUUGAUUUUGUCCCACACGGCACACACUGGCACACGGCAAACAGGCGGCAGCGGCAUGUUUAUUAAGUGACCGUUUUGCUUACCAAUGUGCUUUAUGUGGCUUGCCGUUCGUGUCUUGCGCUACCACCCUUUUUUAUCUAAUCUUUUGCGUCAUUACACGACUUCGUAGUACGAACCAAGCAGCUAUUUUUGGGGCGUUAGCUUCUUCCGGAAGGGUUUGACUACGCAACGCACUGAAGCUGUGUGAGCGCCGGUGUGCGAGACACUCUGUAUACCUUUCCAGCAAUGCACAAACAGGCGUAAGGUAAGAUAAAUGAUACAAAAAUGAUAUACAGUUUCUUGUGAGUGAAGCAGAGUGACGGCGGAAACCUGACACUGUGUGAACGCUAAAGCUCAAGGCCUGGUCAAAGAGGAAUAAAUCUUUGCCGGAGGUAUUUUUGGUAGAAUUUUGAUACUCUCUUCAAGCGUAGCCCAUCUUUUGCCACUCAAAAGUUAGAAUGUAACGUAUCAUGUAAUGUUUUUUUUAAUAAAACCUUUAUGCUCAAACCAGCGAGUAUCAAAUCAUGCGUUACAUCGAAAGUACCAAGACGCAACAAACUCACAUCGAAGUACAUUCAUCCUGCUCCAAAAUCGCUACACUAAAAUCGACGCCUGAAAUUACAAUAACAUCGAUCAAACCAUCAACCCUCCUCUCCCUUUCAAUUGAAAUGUUCCAAUUUUCAGACGCCAAACGCCGUCCACACUGCAUUGCUUCAAUGCAAUGCUCCAGUGGAAUAUGGGACCAUAAGUUGGCCAAUGGGCGGGAUCCCAGCCUCCAAGCCUUCCAAAUGGCCCGUUUUGCGACUGCGGAAUGCAAACGAAACCCGCACGUGCAGGCGCCGUACGACGAAAGCGAAACCGGAACACGGUGGAGCGACCUCCGGGCACUCACCGGGGCCAGAUUGAUCCUUGACGUUUGCGGUGAAGUUCAAUACCGAAGCGGCUCGAUGCAUACAGAGCGCCAACGCUCGCGGAACAGGUUUUCUCUCCAGCAACCAGUUAAACUGCAACUGCUAUUUGCCCGUAUUAGUAGUACGCGACCCCAUGUCCGUGCAUGACGGCAUCAGUGAGCAGCCGGGUUGGUGGGAGUAAGGCAGCAAAAAGAAACCCCCCUUAGAGCCACACCCUUUCCCCGUGAGUUGGACAUGCUUGAGCCAACUCAAGGGCACUGGAGCGGUGGUAUCGGACCCGGUUCCAUGGGUGUCUUGGGCGGCUAGUAAGUGUGUGUGUGAAGAGUGGACUAACUCGACACACCAACUUUGCAACCAAACUCGCCAACAUUGACCGGGCACCGUGCGUGGCCCUCUGACCGGGUUUUUCGCGCGUAACAUCAAAACAAUAUCCCUUCCCGGGUUUCUACGAGCGGUACCAGCGCAGUCUGUUUGCUGUUUUCGCACGUGCCCGUACGCAUAUGUGUAUGUGUGUGUUUGUGUAUGUGUUUGUGUGCUGUUGAAAAAGAUGCAAUCAUGGGAGAUAGAUGCAUCACACCGUAUCUCAUGGUCGCGCGAGUCUUCGUAAUCGUGGCGCCUCUCAUCCUCCACGACCUGUCGGGGACGCGGUCGGUGUUGACGCCGUGUCCGAUGACCUGUCAGCUGGACGAUCGUUUACGUUUCCCCUUUAGGCUAUGAAGCCUUCUUUUCUUGCACAAGCAAAUAAAACCAAACAGAAAAACAAGUCUAGGCAUAGGCAGCUCUCACGUUGUAGCUUAUGGGUUGGAAGGUUAAGCGCGAGCGUUAUCGAACGAUCAGUUGAUUGUCAAACGAUCACUUCCGUCAUUUCAAGAGCAGAUUUUUUCUUCUUUUUGUUAUUCACACAUUAGUAGCAAUCUGGCAGCAAAAAUGCAACAAACCCGCUUAACAGCAAUGCAUUUGGUACGCUUGUCUCGUCAUGGUACCUGGUUGAAGCGACGCUGGAAUACAAAUUAGGCGAUUCUAAUUCUAAUACGGCAUGCUAAAUGGUGCAGCGUGCUCACACAGUUACUGCAUCCUCUGCGCUGCAUCACCAGCAGCAAAGAUAUGGCCUUACACAAAAGUGUAUCCAUCAGCAAACCAAACAAAACGACAAGUUCGCUCCAACUCUCAAUACUUCUAGCACAGUAGAAGUACAACUUGGCUGCAAACUGUGGCUGUUUUUUUUUUCAUUCAUAAAUAUUUAAGACCUCCAAACGACUCGAACGCCAACCGCCGCUACAUGUGCCAUGUGCAAAACGAAUGCAAAUUGGAAUCGACUGUAAAUAUUUAACCUGCUGAUGCGGCACCCCCGAACAGUGUGCCUUUUUAACAAUAGCAAUAGUUUGUGCUACAAAAGCACCCAUUCGCACUGCAGGCUGCCAACUGCCAAAAUUCCUAACCUAUCGCGCAGCGUGCACUCACUCUACGCAUCAAUAACCAGCGCAAAACCGACCAGAAGCGAAAGAGUGAAAGACGGUUGAAGCUGUGACCGUGUGUCGCUGCUCUCGUAACCGUAUGGCUCUUAAUUAAUUUACGGCCACCGAAUAAAUCUUCCCCCUUUCCUUUUGUGCGAGAUCAUCUCUCCGACUACAAAGACACAGUGUCACACACACUCAGGGAGACUCGCCCCGAAACGGUCGCGAAACUGCAACGGCCUUAUCUCGCUGAUCGCGCGGCCCGGUCGGUUUGGUGCGGUCGCUGCAGUUCACAUGUUGCAGCAUUCGGGGAGUGGGAAAGAUGAUUUCGUGACCACCAUUGCCCAUCAUCGCACACACACAUGGUAGACCGAUGGUACAUACGGCUUAUUGUUACACAAAUUCACCGUGCAGUCAGACAGAUCGAAUGACUUGGAGUGGGCAAAGAAAGUGGGAAACCGAGCGCAAUGAUCAGCGAUGCAACUGAGGCCAAACGUGUGUGGGUGUGUGUGUAGUGCCGUGAAUGGUCGUGCGUGAAUGUUUGCGUCCAAGGUAGCAAACGAUGUACCCGCACACGAACCAGCACCAGCGUGACAGGGCUCUCAGUUAUCCGCUAGUGACGGUCGUUUCGGUUUCGAUUGCUCCCUGGGAUUAGAGCCGCUGACAGGUCGGUGCUAAGACGCGCUGAUAAAGCUACCACGGCUGCUAAAGUGUGCGAAAUUGUGCCUGUGUGUGUCUGAAGUGUAUCUGCACUCCAACGGAACCCUGCCUUCCCGUCUCCAGUACGUCCGCAUGUAUCCGCGUGAAUUAAAACCACCGCUCGACACGUGUUUCCGCCAUCGGAAGGCUCACUUUUCUCGUUGCGAAGAAAAGCAAUUCCAACACCCUGCAGCAACACCAGGCUGGGAGAUUUCUUAAUUGAAAUCUUCGCCCCAGCGGUAAGCGCAUCAUUCUUCGCAUCGCUCGUGUGCCGAGCAGGGUUGGCAGAGGUGUUGAGCAUUCCGGCAUUACGAUCCGGCACGCCAUCGAACGUGUGGUGCCCGUGCGGAGGGAGCCCCACAACGCGAUAACGAUCGUGGGCCGCCCAGCGCCCCGGCCGAAGUUUAAUUCUACCUCAAAUCGUGCUGAAAGCUGCCGCCCUGAUAAUUGCUGCAAAAGUGCGAAAGAACCAAACAAAGGUGGAGUGGGAGAUAGUGGGAGAUUUCUCAACACGACAACGUCCAUUUCAUCGACCGGGCGCAUCGCACGGGCUUCCAAUUAUAAAGCGAUUGCGAUGCGUGUGUGAGACAAACCAAGCUCAAACCGUAAACUUUUACACGACGUCCACGGCAGCCUGCUACGCAGCAAGAGCCACUGGUAGUGAUCUCUCGCAUCAAGAUCUCUCUCACUGAUAGACGAUUCUUCCACCCGCUCGAGAAGCACUCCACUUGCCUGCUGCCGAGCUGCUGCUAAAGCAAAUCGCCCCGAAGAAGUGUCCACAAACCGCUAACGCACUUCCUGAGGCACCUGUGCGUCCGAUACGUGCCGAAUAAGCCCACCGGCUCCCAGCUUCGAAGCUGUUCCCUGGCUCAUCGAUACACACCACUACACGCGUGACCAUCAGCAUCUUCUUACUCUCUAUCAUCCCUCCCUUCCAUCGGACGCCGUCCGAUGAUACACCGUGCACAACCGUUGAGCAAACUAACGCAAUCGUCAGAGCGCAUCCCAAUACCCCCC